GGGAUGGAAACCCGAGGACAGGACUAUGUCGGGGGUGCAGAAAUGUUUCUGAAUUAAAAAAUGCUGCGAUUUCAUCCAAACCUCCACACUUCUGAGAGAAACGAGGCGUUUGAAGGUUUUCUUGGGCAGAUUUUUGCGAUGGUUAAUCUUGCUUGUCAAUUUGGAUGCAUCUGGAAUCAAGUAAAACGCAGCUACCGGGCGCUUGCAUGGACAAGUCGUUUCCUUCAUCCGAUUAUGUGAAGCGGGAAGACCUACCCUCACUGUGGGCGGCGCCUUCCGGUGGCUGCCCGGACCAGAAGAAACAGAAGAAGGAAAUGACUUUGCCAGCUUAACCCAGUCUUGCUGGCAAAGUCACAUAUCCUGUUAGAACCUAUCCAGCGUUAGAACCAAGUUCUUCAGAAUUCCCAUGCCAACCGAAGACCAGAAGCUCUCAAGGUGGUCUUCAGGCCAUCGGCACUGCUGAGACAUCCAGCCUGGAUUGAAUAAUUACCGGAUGCUUGGCCUCUCCCGUGGGAGACAGUCACUAUUGGGCUACCAGGACCACAUCCGCAUGAAGAAGAAAGCAGAGACCAGAAGAAUGGAUUAGAAUUCAUGAGCCAUUUGUUCAGCUUCGAAUUGAUGGAGUCCCGGCUGACUGGAGAGGCCAGAGUGAAAACUGGCUGAGGUCCCUGCAGAUACGGACCGGCUCGCUCAUUCUUCCUCUGGCAAGGAAAGAACACGGCUCAGACGGAUGUGCUGGAGGAAACGCACCAGGAAAUCCCAAGCAGGGCGCAAUCAGUCACCAUUAAUGCCCAGAAGGAUCAAAGCUACUUGAAGAAAUACAGCCACUUACGGAUGGACGGGAAAAUUGAAUUCAUGAAGCCAUGCCUUCUCCGUGGGCGAUUUCCCGGAGCUGAAGCACUGGAAUUGCACGCUGACCCAGGUUUAAUGAGCACAGCUGCCUGGAAGCAUUGCAUGAUGGGACUUCUGGAGGAUGUGUCUGGAACCCCAGUCAAGAUGCUGAGCUGGCAAGUUGCAUGGCAAAGGACCAACCAGCUCCCCCCCAAGCCCAUGCCUCAGCCCAGUAAAGUCUUCUUAACUCCUUGGGGAUUUUUCCUAACUGCUCACCUAUAAUAAAACGUUUUCCGCAACUCACUCUUCUGCUGUCUGGGAAAUGCAGCCAUGAGUUAAAGGAGGAGGAAUUUUAGUGGUCAUUGAUUACCAGCCAUCUAGUUCCUGAUACUGCUCACCUGAGGAGAGAAGACUGCCUCAGGGCAGAAGCCCCUUCACCUUGCUUUCCCCCUUUACCAAUAAGAGUGUUAAAAAACCAAAAAGUCAUGCGCAAGGCCUCCAUGUAUAUGAUCUCUGGGUACUUGUUCCUUUCCAGGUGUAAUUCCUGUGAUUUUUUUCUGGGACUAUUACAAACAAAACUACACACUUCAUUUGCAUCAAAAGAAAGUGCUGGUGCCGGCUGGUUUUGUGUCACGUUGACACAGGUUAUAAUCAUUUGAAAGAUGGGAAUCUCAGUUGAGAAAAUACCUCCGUAAGAUCCGGCUGCAGGCGAGCCUAUAGGAUAUUUGUAAAUUAGUAAUUGAUGUGGGAGGGCUUGGUCUAUUGUGGAUGGUCCUGUCCCUGGGAUGGUGGUCCUGGGUUCUGUAAGGAAGCAGGAUGAGCAAGCCAUGGGAGUAAGACAGUAACUAGUGUGAAGGCCAAAGUUAUGUUUUAAGUUUAAAUUGCUAUGAUUAAUAGAUCCAUAAAACAAAAAUGCUUCAAACCUGUAAGCCCCACUUGC